rnacentral:rRNA from 1 species
CCUACGGGGGGCAGCAGUGGGGAAUAUUGCGCAAUGGGCGAAAGCCUGACGCAGCGACGCCGCGUGAGGGAUGAAGGAUCUAUGGUUUGUAAACUUCUUUUAUAGGGGAAUAAAGGUAUCCACGUGUGGAUAUUUGCAUGUACCCUAUGAAUGAGCAUCGGCUAACUCCGUGCCAGCAGCCGCGGUAAUACGGAGGAUGCGAGCGUUAUCCGGAUUUAUUGGGUUUAAAGGGUGCGUAGGUUGUUUUUUAAGUCAGCGGUGAAAGUUUGUGGCUCAACCAUAAAAUUGCCGUUGAAACUGGAAGACUUGAGUGUGUUUGAGGUAGGCGGAAUGCGUGGUGUAGCGGUGAAAUGCAUAGAUAUCACGCAGAACUCCGAUUGCGAAGGCAGCUUACUAAGCCAUAACUGACACUGAAGCACGAAAGCGUGGGGAUCAAACAGGAUUAGAUACCCGAGUAGUC